rnacentral:tRNA from 1 species
ACUUUUUUAUUAUAAUAAUUAUAUUUGAUUUCCAAUCAAAAGAUCUUAAUAAAGAAAAAGUA